rnacentral:lncRNA from 1 species
UGCCGUAACCGCGAGAGAAAAAGAUCCAGAGAAGGAAGCAGAGAUGGGGAGGUGACUAUGGAAAGACUAAUCUUAUCUCCCCACCCUGAGAGGAAAUCACCAGUUAUAGGAAUUCAAACUUCCAGUUUUCCCAGGAGUCUUCCAAGGAUCCUGUCAGGUGACUGAAAGGAAGAGAGGGGACAGAAGGAAAACCAAACCUCUACCCUGAGCUCCCAAAAUGCUG